rnacentral:rRNA from 1 species
GCAUAUCAAUAAGCGGAGGAAAAGAAACCAACAGGGAUUGCCUCAGUAACGGCGAGUGAAGCGGCAACAGCUCAAAUUUGAAAUCUGGCCCCCUUGCGGGGUCCGAGUUGUAAUUUGAAGAGGAUGCUUCUGGCAAGGUGCCUUCCGAGUUCCCUGGAACGGGACGCCGCAGAGGGUGAGAGCCCCGUACGGUUGGACGCCGAGCCUCUGUGAAGCUCCUUCGACGAGUCGAGUAGUUUGGGAAUGCUGCUCAAAAUGGGAGGUAAACCCCUUCUAAAGCUAAAUACUGGCCAGAGACCGAUAGCGCACAAGUAGAGUGAUCGAAAGAUGAAAAGCACUUUGAAAAGAGAGUUAAAAAGCACGUGAAAUUGUUGAAAGGGAAGCGCUUGCGACCAGACUCGCGCCCGUCGGAUCAGCCGUCGCUCGCGGCGGUGCACUCCGGCGGGCUCGGGCCAGCAUCAGUUCGUUGGGGGGGAGAAAGGCGGCGGGAAUGUGGCUCCACGGAGUGUUAUAGCCCGUCGUGUAAUACCCCCUGGCGGACUGAGGACCGCGCGUAUGCAAGGAUGCUGGCGUAAUGGUCGUCAGCGACCCGUCUUGAAACACGGACCAAGGAGUCGUCCUAAUAUGCGAGUGUACGGGUGUCAAACCCCUGCGCGUAAUGAAAGUGAACGGAGGUGAGAGCUUCGGCGCAUCAUCGACCGAUCCUGAUGUUCUCGGAUGGAUUUGAGUAAGAGCAUAUUGGGCCGGACCCGAAAGAAGGUGAACUAUGGCCCUGUGUAGGGUAAAGCCAGAGGAAACUCUGGUGGAGGCUCGCAGCGGUUCUGACGUGCAAAUCGAUCGUCAAACAUGGGCAUGGGGGCGAAAGACUAAUCGAACCCUUCUAGUAGCUGGUUUCCGCCGAAGUUUCCCCUCAU